rnacentral:rRNA from 1 species
ACAUGCAAGUCGAACGGACCCUUCGGGGUUAGUGGCGGACGGGUGAGUAACACGUGGGAACGUGCCUUUAGGUUCGGAAUAGCUCCUGGAAACGGGUGGUAAUGCCGAAUGUGCCCUUCGGGGGAAAGAUUUAUCGCCUUUAGAGCGGCCCGCGUCUGAUUAGCUAGUUGGUGAGGUAAUGGCUCACCAAGGCGACGAUCAGUAGCUGGUCUGAGAGGAUGACCAGCCACACUGGGACUGAGACACGGCCCAGACUCCUACGGGAGGCAGCAGUGGGGAAUCUUGCGCAAUGGGCGAAAGCCUGACGCAGCCAUGCCGCGUGAAUGAUGAAGGUCUUAGGAUUGUAAAAUUCUUUCACCGGGGACGAUAAUGACGGUACCCGGAGAAGAAGCCCCGGCUAACUUCGUGCCAGCAGCCGCGGUAAUACGAAGGGGGCUAGCGUUGCUCGGAAUUACUGGGCGUAAAGGGCGCGUAGGCGGAUCGUUAAGUCAGAGGUGAAAUCCCGGAGCUCAACUUCGGAACUGCCUUUGAUACUGGCGAUCUUGAGUAUGAGAGAGGUAUGUGGAACUCCGAGUGUAGAGGUGAAAUUCGUAGAUAUUCGGAAGAACACCAGUGGGCGAAGGCGACAUACUGGGCUCAUUACUGGACGCUGAAGGCGCGAAAAGCGUGGGGGAGCAAA